UUUUUUAACGCCAUCAUGCAAUCAGAUGGGAGAAGACAACAACAUUCUUUUUCUUUAGCCAUGACCUUUUUCGCUAUAAUGUUUGAGCCAUUAGAAAAGGGUUCUGAUAUCUUCUUUGGAGAAGAUUAAUUCUGGAAGAAAUGUCUCCCAAAGGGAAAUGCUACCAAUGGCUUAUUUGAUUUCAUGAAGAUGAAGUCUUCUUUGGUAACUGUGCCAAACCUACUUGACAGCUUCGUAAUUUCACUGUUGAAUUAUGUGCCUAUAGUGCCUUUUGAUCCUUCAUAAGCCUAUCAAUGUGGCUGUUCUUGGGACUAUAGGUGACUGCGCUCAUUAACACAAAGCUUCUUAGCCCAUGGGGGAGGAAUAGAAACCAUAUCCUUUGCCUCAAGUCUAAAUAGGCUAUUGGCUGAGCAGCUAUUAAUGUUGGUAAUUGGAACCUUGUUGAAGCUAGAUUAUGUUGGGCUACUUCCUGCUACGAUUGGAAUCUUGUUUUUUUGGUUGAAAUUGGCUAAGGUUUCUAUUUUCUUUUAUCAUCCCUAUCUGUUACCUGGACUACUUUCCCCAGUUAUUGAGGAACUUUAACUCGAAGUCCUUCCUUUAGAUACGCUGUUGCAUGUUACCAGGAACAUGAUGAUUCUGAUAAUUUUUCAAUUUACAAGACUUGAAGAGCAUUGUAACAACCGUUUAAUAUGUGAUAUUUCCUACCGUGAUAACUCCAGAUUGAACAUUUAACUGAUUUUAAUCUGAAGAAACUCUGCAACUUGUUGAAUUGGUGGAUGAUAGCAAGGAUGUGAAGGAACUCAUGGAAUUAGCGGCGGAAAGAAUUUAACUGCAAUGAAUGACAUUUGCUUCCUUUUGGGUGUGAUCUCAUUUGGAAUCCACAAUCGGACUCUCUCGAAGCACUAUUGCAAAGUUCAAUGCAUUAAUCACAACAAAUUAAAAGCUGGAUAACCAUAGUAAAAUCAAGUUACAUGAUGUGUUGCAAUUUAUCCAAAAUAAUUGGUAGAACAUGUUUGCUUGCAAAUGAUUAAGCAUGGUUGAAAUGGUUUGGAGAGCUUAAAUGGAUAUUAUCAGACCUUCUGAUGGACAUUUUUUCCUACAUGAAACAGUGAUUACUGAGUCAGAUACCAGUGGAUGCGUUGGGGCCUGCUUCUGUGCACACGCCUUGAAGUUGCUCGUCACCCAGGUGCCCAUGCUGGAAUAUCAAUAAGACAUUGAAACAUCCGUGAAAUUGUAUGUUAUCUUCCCAAUCGAACAAGUACAUUCCAUUUAUGAGUUAAAUGUUAUUUUAUUUUUGUUUUCCA